AAUGCUACGCUUUAGCUGGUUGAAUCCGGGCCAAAUUGUGCAAGAGUUGAAGACAUUUGGUCCCCUUCAACCAGCUGUAGUUGGCAUUCCGA
rnacentral:pre_miRNA from 1 species